AAAAGUGUCCGUUGUAUUUAUUGAUUUCCUUGUUUCAAAUUUUCACUACAUUUGAUGUCCCUGUUAAAGUGCAUUUUGUUAUACAUGGAAGUAUCAUUAUUUGGUCUCUAACUACACACCUUCACCAAUUUACAAGCAAUUGAAUAAAUGACCAACUAGUAACUAAAAGGUAAUGAAAUGGACAAGAAAAUGUAAAGGAGACUGCCUAAAUUAAAUGUGAAGGGCCAUCAUCAGGGAUCUGCAUCACCCGCAACAUUGUCAUCACUUGAUAUUCUUUCUGCAUCACUAACAUCCUCUUCGCUGAUGUCUUCGUUGCUAUCUUCUGAGAGAGCAUUGGUGAUGUUUUCCUUUUUUGCAUAACGUUCACAGUACUCUUUCACUUUCUCUUCAUACUGUUUCUUAUCUUUCAUCAUUAGGGAUGCUGCAUCACCGUUAAGUGGGUCUGAAGGGUUUGGAUAAAGCAGCAGCUGUGGAAGGAAAACCUCAAACACAUUUAAAAGAUCAAACAUUGGACUCCAUGACUGGUUGAUGACAUCCAAGCAUACAGAACCAGACAUCUCAUCAACAUUAGGGUGGUAUAUUUUAUUCAGAAACCCAAUGGAAGGAGAUUUGUAUGGGUAAGCAUCUGGUAGCUCCACAUGGAUUUUCCAAACACCGCCUUCAUAAAGGCUUUCUUUUGGCCCAUGGAAUUCCACAUUGAAUUCAUUAAUCCCAUCAUUGAUUGGCUCCACAGUGUAGUCACUCAUCAUCAAUUUCAUAACAUCCAUAUCUCUUCUCUUGCUUGGAGAAGACAUCCUUUCAUUUAACAGAUAUUCUUUGGUCGUGGGCCUGCCAUUUAAGAACUGUCAGGCAUAACUCAAAAUAGAUUCAUAAAUAACAUAAUAACAACUUCCUUUCCCACCAAGUAAAUAAAUAUAUAUUUGUCUACGCAAUUCCAAAUUUUCAGUCCUCAAUGAAUUUUCAUCAACUGCAGAAACUUCAAAACCAAUUCCUUUUUCUUGUUCCUUUAUGAUAAUGUUUUCACUUGUUGCAAAGAGAAAUUUCAUCAGCACCAUUUCCCUAUUGAAUACCAAAAUCCAAUUGAAGAUACACCAAUCAUUGACAGACAAAUAAAGUUGACUAUGGUAAUGUGCAAUACAUAUCUUAGAUUACUCCCUAGGCAACCGAGCAGGUCAGUGCCGUGGGUUAAACGAGAAACAACCCUACUCAUCACAAAGCAGUUUAGCACAAGAAUAAACAGAUUAAUAACAGCCACCUAAACUCUUCCUCAUCUAAGUAUUCAUAAGUAUCAAGAUGAUGGUUUUUUCCCCUUUUGCUCUGUACUUGUUAUUGUUACAAGUAACUCAAAUUAAAUGGAGAAAGUUGGGUACAGUAUAAAGCUUAUUUAUACAAUGGCAUCACCAAGAAGCCUAAAUUAUGAUCAUCCAUAAUCUUUCCCUUGUUGCCAACAAAUCACUCCCGUAAACUUGCUCCCUUGUAGCAUAUAACAAUUGAAAAGAAAAAAUGCCAAUCCCAAAUUAAACCUAAUGCAUACUCUUUCCUUGAUGAAAGACAAAAUUUAAAAAACCAAUCAAAUACCAAAAGGCCGCAUACUGCCCCAAAUUAGUAAAACAAACCGAUGGAAUUUAAGAUCCAAGUCUAGAACAACCAAUUAAACCCCAAUUGAUAAAUCACUGGAAAACAGAAUCAACAAUUAUAGAUUGAAAAGAAAAAUAAAAAGGGAAAUUAAGAGAUAACCGAAAUUUGAAGAGUGAAUUAUUGAGAGGGUUUUUUAAAGGUUUUCUGUGAUUAGGUUUUAUUCACAUAUGUAUUGAAACGGGAGCAGAUGCCAGAUAGAAAGAAAGCAAAAGUUGACAGAUGACAUGAGAGACGAAAAGAGGUACGCACAUGCGCGUGUUUCUGGCACGUGAUGCGAAUUUACCAGCGUGUAUGGAAGUUGGUGGCGGGUUUGGCUCCUCUCCGCCAAAGCCCCGUUCCUUUCUGUUCUUCUAAUC
rnacentral:misc_RNA from 1 species